CACCAAUCAAAUACUAGUGUGCCCCGCAGUCAUGCAUCGUCUGUUUUGCUGGAUAAUGGUGGUUAUUGUUUACGUUAUUAGUAGCCUGAGAGUGUCGUUGAGAUUUGAAACCUCUGAAUAUCUAUACUCUUCCAAUCUUUGUAGCAAAUGGAUUGUUUGGUAUUGUUGUUUUCGCCCCAUGAGAUUUCCUAGAUGUUGCUGUUUUCUCCCAUCAUGUUUUUGUUGUCGCCAGGAAUUUACGCUUCUAGAUCCAGCUCUCACGCAAGUCAAGCGUGCAAGCUAGUUAAAGCACAUUGAUCCGCUGAGUCUCGGCGUGAUAUAAAUUGAAGAAGAGGCAAACUGAGAUUAUCGAACGGGAAGUAAACAUGGCGGAGGCUUGCGCCAAACACCUCCCCAGCGCUGCUACCCUUAGAGGAGUGCUGGUCAAUAGCAACAUUACAUACCGGUUCAGGUGUUUGCUAACAUUGCAGUUUAAGCAAAGGCGAGGUUUUCUCUGCCUAUUUCGCUGGUUACAGAGGAUCUAACACCUCACCAUCAUGCGAUCCGACAGUUUCUGGACAUCCAAAUCGAAACAUUUGGGCCAUCAGAAUAUCUUCUAUUUCCACGUUGGAAUUUUUAGUUUAAACCGAUGGCGAGCUGCAUUCCAGAAAUUGGUAGGUUGCAUCUAUUUUGGGGUCUUUUCAUAUGUGACUCAGUUGGACUUGACUGAGUAAAUGUAUGCCAAAAACGCAUGUUUGGCUACCGUAGCUACCGUUGACUUGCUUGCGCUCUGGGUGAGAACCUAGACCCAGUUUCCCGGUUCGGACGAUGGCGGCGCUAGUGUCGCUCUCCCUCAUGGGGGCAUCGUUUUUGGAGCAGCUGCCGGAUGGGGAAGACAAAAGGUGGAGCGGUGUUUCAUUUACCGCAUCGAAGACGACGGAUCUCGGUGGCAUGGCGCAGCAGGGUCUUGGCGGCAGAGGUGUGAUGAUGGACGCGCAGGGAGGUGGUGUUGUUUGGCACUGUGGUAGCGUCGACGCCAGUCCUGGCAAAGUCGAUGCGUCUGUACAUGCUCUGAAGAUGGAUCGGUGGAUGAUGGUGGUGGCGGCCUCUGAGGGUGCGCCAGACCGGUGUGACCUAGUCCCGGCAGUGGUCUGGCUGGGCCAUCCGGCUUUAGAUGUUAGGCUUUGGUGCGAUGUCUGUUUGGUAUUCUGCUCGGACAUUGGGCACCCUUCAUCAUGGGGAUAGGAGUAGCGACAGGUGUUGCUAAGUUGAUGGCUUCAGGCUUACUGAUGUAUUACUUUGUAAGAUCUUUGUGAAUAAUUAAUAAAAUGGCUGCAUCAUCGUCCAGAUGUAGAGGCCGGGGGUAUAUCUUUUUUUCUAAAAAAGGAAAAUGCAUGUUCUGCACCUUGUUUGGUAACCUACAUAUAGGCUAGCUGCAUCAGGUAACCAAUUUUUCCCUGAUGUUUGAUGGCAUGCGUUGGGCAUGGCGUAAUUUGUGAUCAUCCCUUCUCACUAGUGGUGACCUUACCGCACACGAUCAAAACAUCAUUUCAGUCCUAGCUAGUACAUGAAUGGUAGUUCAUCUUAACUACUAACAAAUAGGAUAGGAAUUAACAGUCAUAUGGCUCAACAGGGAAAAGUUCAUCGAUGCCGAACUAGGCGAAAGUCCAUCCUCUUCUUAUACACCUACUACUAAAAUUGCCUUUUAGCAUCUCAAAGAAGCACCUGCUGCAGCUCCAAUGCUAGCUCUACCAGACUUCAAGAAACAUUUUGUUGUAGAAACAAAUACUAGCAACAAAGAGAUUGGAGUUGUGCUUAUGCAUGAGGGUCACCCUCUCUCACCUCGGCAAAGCUCUGGCCCUAAGAGCAUCUCCAUCCGCGCCCCAACAGGCCCCCAGGCCCCUUUUUCGGCGCCGGCGCCCAAAAAAGGCCCAGACGUGCCCCCAAAAGCGCAUUUUUGGCCGGUUAGGCCCAAAACUGGCGCCGGCAGACCAAGGCCAAACCCGGCGCGUGAUACGUCUCCAACGUAUCUACUUUUCCAAAUACUUUUGCCCUUGUUUUGGACUCUAACUUGCAUGAUUUUAAUGGAACUAACCUGGACUGACGUUGUUUUCAGUAGAAUUGCCAUGGUGUUAUUUUUGUGUAGAAUAAAAGUUCUCGGAAUGACCUGAAACUUCAUGGAGUCACGUUUUGGAAUUAAUAAAAAAUAUUGGCGAAAGAAUCAACAGAAGGGGGCCCACACCCUGUCCACGAGGGUGCAGGGCGCGCCCCCUGCCUCGUGGGUCCCCUGGACCUCCACCGACCUCAACUCCAACUCUAUAUAUUCAUGUCCGGGGAGAAAAAAUAUCAGAGAGAAGGAUUCAUCGCGUUUUACGAUACAGAGCCGCCGCCAAGCCCCGUUCUUCCUUGGGAGGGCAGAUCUGGAGUCCGUUCGGGGCUCCGGAGAGGGGAAUCCGUCGCCAUCGUCAUCAUCAACCAUCCUCCAUCACCAAUUUCAUGAUGCUAACCGCCGUGCGUGAGUAAUCCCAUCGUAGGCUUGCUGGACGGCGAUGGGUUGGAUGAGAUUUACCAUGUAAUCGAGUUAGUUUUGUUAGGGUUUGAUCCCUAGUAUCCACUAUGUUCUAAGAUUGAUGUUGCUAUGAUUUUGCCAUGCUUAAUGCUUGUCACUAGGGUCCAAGUGCCAUGAUUUCAGAUCUGAACCUAUUAUGUUUUCAUGAAUAUAUGAGUGUCCUUGAUACUAUCUUGCAAGUUAUAGUCACCUACUACGUGUUAUGAUCCAGCAAGCCCCGGAGUGACAAUAGUCGGGACACUUCCCGGUGAUGACCGUAGUUUGAGAAGUUCAUGUAUUCACUAAGUGCUAAUGCUUUGGUCCGGUUCUCUAUUAAAAGGAGGCCUUAAUAUCCCUUAGUUUCCAAUAGGACCCGCUGCCACAGGAGGGUAGGACAAAAGAUGUCAUGCAAGUUCUUUCCCAUAAGCACGUAUGACUAUAUUUAGAAUACAUGCCUACAUUAUAUUGAAUAACUGGAGCUAGUUCUGUGUCACCCUAUGUUAUAACUGUUGCAUGAUGAAUGCCAUCUGACAUAAUUAUCCAUCAUUGAUCCAUUGCCUACGAGCUUUUCAUAUAUUGAUCUUUGCUAAGUUACUUCUCCGUUGCCACUGUUACGAUUGCUACAAAACUGCUACUGUUACUUUUGCCACUGUUACCGUUGUUUCCAUACUAGUUUGCUACUAAAUACUUUGCUGCAGAUAUUAAGUCUUUCAGGUGUGGUUGAAUUGACAACUCAGCUGCUAAUACUUGAGAAUAUUCUUUGACUCUCCUUGUGUCGAAUCAAUAAAUUUGGGUUGAAUACUCUACCCUCGAGAACUAUUGCGAUCCCCUAUACUUGUGGGUUAUUAAGACUUUUUUCUGGCGCCGUUGCCGGGGAGCAUAGCUCUGUUCUUUGAGUCACUUGGGAUUUAUAUCUGUUGAUCACUAUGAGGAAUUUGAAAGAUCAAAGAACCCAGAUUUUUCCCUCAACUACGAGGGGAGGUAAGGAACUGCCAUCUAGCUCCGCACUUGAUUCACCUUCUGUUUUGAGUAAACUUGCGACACCUACACCUGCUAUUGAUUCUGAUAUGUCGCAUGUUAUUGAUGAUGCCACUUCUGCUAUGCAUGAUGCUUAUGAUGAUAGUACUUCUCUGCUUGAUAAUACUGUGCCAUUAGGUGAAUUUCUUGAUGAACAACUUGCUAGGGUUAGAGAGAAUGAAAUUAUUGAAAUUGAUGAUAUUAAUGAAAGUGAUGAUGAAGAUUCUCCCCCUAGAUAUGAAUUUCUUGUUGUACCUGAGGGUUAUGUUAUGGAUGAAGAAACUGCUAGAGACUACCUUGCUUGCAAUGAUAGAUAUGAUCUUAAGAAACUGUUAGCUGAUACGUCCAUUUUGCAUCAUGCUUUAUAUCGAUAUUUAUUGCAUUAUGGGAUGUUACUACACAUUAUGUUACAAUACUUAUGCCUUUUCUAUCUUAUUUUACAAGGUUUACACGAAGAGGGAGAAUGCCGACAGCUGGAAUUCUAGGCUGGAAAAGGAGCAAAUAUUAGAGACCUAUCCUGCACAACUCCAAAAGUCCUGAAACUCCACAAAAGUCAGUUUUGGAAUAUAUUAAAAAUAUUGGAUGAAGAAAGCACCAGAGGGGGGCCACCCACCGUCCACGAGGGUGGAGGGCGCACCCUACCCCCCUAGGCGCGCCCCCUGUCUCGUGGGCCACCUGGCAACCCCCGAUGCCCAUCUUCUGCUAUUUGGUGUCUUUUACCCUGAAAAAAUCAUAAGGAAGCAUUCGGGAGGAAGCACCUCCGUCUCGAGGCGGAACCUUGGUGGAACCAAUCUAGGGCUCCGGCGGAGCUGUUCUGCCGGGGAAACAUCCCUCUGGGAGGGGGAAAUCAUCUCCAUCGUCAUCACCAUCGAUCCUCUCAUCGAGAGGGGGUCAAUCUCCAUCUACAUCUUCACCAGCACCAUCUCCUCUCAAACCCUAGUUCAUCUCUUGUAUCGAUCUUUGUCUCAAAACCCCAGAUUGGUACCUGUGGGUUGCUAGUAGUGUUGAUUACUCCUUGUAGUUGAUGCUAGUUGGUUUACUCGAUGGAAGAUCAUAUGUUCAGACCCUUUAUGCAUAUAAUACCCCUCUGAUUUUGAACAUGAAUAUGAUUUGUGAGUAGUUACGUUUGUUCCUGAGGACAUGGGAGAAGUCUUGUUAUAAGUAGUCAUGUGAAUUUGGUAUUCUUUCGAUAUUUUGAUGAGAUGUAUGUUGUCUUUCCUCUAGUGGUGUUAUGUGAAGUCGACUACAUGACACUUCACCGUUGUUUGGGCCUAGGGGAAGGCAUUGGGAAGUAAUAAGUAGAUGAUGGGUUGCUAGAGUGACAGAAGGUUAACCCUAGUUUAUGCGUUGCUUCGUAAGGGGCUGAUUUGGAUCCACAUGUUUCAUGCUAUGGUUAGGUUUACCUUAAUUCUUCUUUCGUAGUUGGGGAUGCUUGCGAGAGGGGUUAAUCAUAAGUGGGAUGCUUGUCCAAGGAAGGGAAGUACCCAAGCACCCGUCCACCCACAUAUCAAAUUAUCAAAGUAAUGAACGCGAAUCAUAUGAGCAUGACGAAAACUAGCUUGGCGAUAAUUCCCAUGUGUCCUCCAGAGCGCUUUGCUUUAUAUAAGAGUUUGUCCAGGCUUGUCCUUUGCUACAAAAAGGAUUGGGCCACCUUGCUGCACCUUAUUUACUUUUGUUACUUGUUACCCGUUACGAAUUAUCUUAUCACAAAACUAUUUGUUACCGAUAAUUUCAGUGCUUGCAGAGAAUACCUUACUGAAAACCACUUGUCAUUUCCUUCUACUCUUGGUUGGGUUUGACACUCUUACUUAUCAAAAGGACUACGAUAUGUCCCCUAUACUUGUGGGUCAUCAAGACUCUUUUCUGGCGCCAUUGCCGGGGAGUAAAGCGCCUUUGGUAGGUGGAAUUUGGUAAGGAAAAAUUUAUAUUGUGUGCUGAAAUUUAUUGUCACUUGUUACUAUGGAAAAUAAUCCUUUGAGGGGCUUGUUCGGGGUAUCUUCACCCUGACCAGAAGAGCAAAGAGUUGCUCCUCAACCUACUAAACUACUGAAAAUAUUCACUUUGAAAUUCCUUCGGGUAUGAUAGAUAAACUGCUAGCUAAUCCCUAUACAGGAGAUGGAACGUUACAUCCCGAUAUGCACCUAAUCUAUGUGGAUGAAGUUUGUGGAUUAUUUAAGCUUGCAGGUAUGCCCGAGGAUGUUAUCAAGAAGAAGGUCUUCCCUUUAUCUUUGAAGGGAAAGGCAUUGACAUGGUUUAGGCUAUGUGAUGAUAUUGGAUCAUGGAACUACAACCGAUUGAAAUUGGAAUUUCAUCAGAAGUUUUAUCCUAUGCAUCUGGUUCAUCAUGAUCGUAAUUAUAUAUACAAUUUUUGGCCUCGUGAAGGAGAAGUAUCGCUCAACCUUGGGGGAGGCUUAAGUCAAUGUUAUAUUCAUGCCCCAAUCAUGACCUCUCAAGAGAAAUUAUUAUUCAAAAAUUUUAUGCUCGACUUUCUCUUAAUAAUCGCUCCAUGCUCGAUACUUCUUGUACCGGUUCUUUUAUGAUGAAGACUAUUGAAUUCAGAUGGGAUUUAUUGGAAAGAAUUAAACGCAACUCUGAAGAUUGGGAACUCGACGAAGGUAAGGAGUCAGGUAUAACACCUAAGUUUGAUUGUGUUAAAUCUUUUAUGGAUACCGAUGCUUUUCGUGAAUUUAGCACUAAAUAUGGACUUGACUCUGAGAUAGUAGCUUCUUUCUGUGAAUCAUUUGCUACUCAUGUUGAUCUCCCUAAGGAUAAGUGGUUUAAAUAUCAUACUCCCAUUGAAGUAAAAGUAGUAGAACCUAUUAAAGUUGAAGAAAAGACUAUCACUUAUAAUGUUGAUCCUAUUGUUCCUACCGCUUAUAUUGAGAAACCACCCUUUCCUGUUAGAAUAAAGGAUCAUGCUAAAGCUUCAACUGUGGUUCGUAAGAAUAAUGCUAGAACACCCAUGAUACGUCUCACAUAUCUAUAAUUUUUGAUUGUUCCAUGCUAUUAUAUUACCCCUUUUGGAUGUUUAUGGGCUUUAUUUUACACAUUUAUAUCAUUUUUGGGACUAACCUACUAACCGGAGGCCCAGCCCGUAUUGUUGUUUUUUUGUGCCUAUUUUAGUAUUUCGAAGAAAAGGAAUAUCAAACGGAGUCCAAACGGAAGGAAACCUUCGGGAGCGUGAUUUUUGGAACGAACGUGAUCCGGAGAACUUGGAGUGCAAGUCAAGAAGCUUGCGAGGCGGCCAGGAGACAGGAGGGCGCGCCCACCCCCUGGGCACAUCCCUAUCUCCUGGGCCCCACAGGCGGCCACCGACGUACUUCUUCUUCCUAUAUAUACCUACGUACCCCGAAAACAUCCAGGGAGCCAACGAAACACAAUUUCCACCACCGUAACCUUCUGUAUCCGCGAGAUCCCAUCUUGGAGCCUUCGCCGGCGCUCCGCCGGAGGGGGAAUCGACCACGGAGGGCGUCUACAUCAACACCAUAGCCCCUCCGAUGAGUUGUGAGUAAUUUACCACAGACCUUCGGGUCCAUAGUUAUUAGCUACAUGGCUUCUUCUCUCUUUUUGGAUCUCAAUACAAUGUCCCCCCCCUCUCUUGUGGAGAUCUAUUCGAUGUAAACUCUUUUUGUGGUGUGUUUGUCGAGAUCCGAUGAAUUGUGGGUUUAUGAUCAAGUUUAUCUAUGAGAAAUAUUUGAAUCUCCUCUGAAUUCUUUUAUGUAUGAUUGAGUUAUCUUUGCAAGUCUCUUCGAAUUAUAAGUUUGGUUUGGCCUACUAGAUUGAUCUUUCUUGCCAUGGGAGAAGUGCUUAGCUUUGGGUUUAAUCUUGCAAUGUCCUUUCCCAGUGAUAGCAGGGGAAGCAAGGCACAUAUUGUAUUGUUGCCAUCGAGGAUAAAAAGAUGGGGUUUAUAUCAUAUUGCUUGAGUUUAUCCCUCUACAUCAUGUCAUCUUUCUUAAUGCGUUACUCUGUUCUUUAUGAACUUAAUACUCUAGAUGCAGGCAGGAGUCGGUCGAUGUGUGGAGUAAUAGUAGUAGAUGCAGGCAGGAGUCGGUCUACUUGUUGCGGACAUGAUGCCUAUAUACAUGAUCAUGCCUAGAUAAUCUCAUAAUUAUUUGCUUUUCUAUCAAUUGCUCGACAGUAAUUUGUUCACCCACCGUAAUACUUAUGCUAUCUUGAGAGAAGCCACUAGUGAAACCUAUGGCCCCCGGGUCUAUCUUUUAUCAUAUAAUCUUUCAAUCUACUUUUAUUUGCAUCUUUACUUUUUGCAUCUAUAUUAUAAAAUACCAAAAAUAUAUUUAUAUUAUCAUAUUAUCUCUAUCAGAUCUCACUUUUGCAAGUGGCCGUAGGGAUUGACAACCCCUUUAUCGCGUUGGUUGCGAGUUCUUUAUUUGUUUGUGUAGGUGCGUGGGACUUUUGAGGAGCCUCCUACUGGAUUGAUACCUUGGUUCUCAAAAACUGAGGGAAAUACUUAUGCUACUAUUGCUGCAACACCCUUUCCUCUUCAAGGAAAACCAACGCAAGCUCAAGACGUAGCAAGAAGGUUUUCUGGCACCGUUGUCGGGGAGGUCUUCACUCAAGUCAAGACAUACCAAGUACCCAUCACAAACUCAUCUCCCUCGCAUUUACAUUAUUUGCCAUUUGCCUCUCGUUUUCCUCUCCCCCACUUCAUCCUUGCCGUUUUAUUUGCCCUCUCUUUCCCAAUCUCCUCCUCUCUCUUUCGCUUGCCUUUUUUGCUCGUGUGUUAGAUCGUUUACCUUGUCAUUAUGGCUAGUCCUCCUAUCCUUGUUAUCACUCCCGAACAUGAAAUUCUCAAUUUUAAGCAAAGGGAGGGAGAGAAUUUAAAAGAUGCUUGGCAUAUAAUUUGCAAUGCUCAAAAUAGAUCUACUAGGAAGGUUUCUACUUCCGUUCUUCUUCGCAAUUUUUAUGUAGGCAUUACUCCUUGGAAUAGAUGUGUUCUUGAUACCAUUGUCGGAGGGGAUUUCUUGAGUAGCCAUACAUUUGAUGCUUAUAAUGCUAUGUUAGAUUUGUUUGGCCCACCACCUCUUUUGGUUAAUGGAACUACUUUAACUUUAGAACACGUUAUGCAACGGCUUGAGAUUAUUGAAAAUAAAAUUGCCACUGUUGAGUUGAUUGAAAAUUUGGAUAAAAAUAUUCAUAAUCACAUCACCCAAUAUGGAUCUAUGGUUGGAGUUACUUUGAAAAAUCUUAUAGAGAAAGAACCUAUAGUUAAUGAAAAAUAGAUCUAGAUUCUGCAAGAAUCGGUAAACUUGAGGAUAUCAUUACCAACUUAGGUUCCGCAUUUCUUCCAUGAAAAAUACUCCAAAACUCCCCACCAAAACUGCCAAGUUUAUUUAUGUUCCUAAAAAUAAGGGGGAAUCUUCUAGUAAAGGAGACGCGGAUCUCAAAUCCAUAAGUGUUCAUCCAAAUUGUCUCUCUAUCAUUAAGGAACCUUUUGCUACAAAUGAAUUUCUUGAAUUUUUGCCUAAAGGUUUAAGCAUUGCUAAAAAGGGAGAAACCCCUAAAGAUUAUAAGUGCUCUAUUGAGGAAUUGAGUGCCAAAGAUGGCACUACUUAGAUCUAUCUUCGCUUUUAUGCCUAGCUAGGGGCGUUAAACGAUAGCGCUAGUUGGGAGGCAACCCAAUUUUAUUUGUGUUUUUUGUUUUUGUUUCUGUUUAGUAAUAAAUUUUGCAUCUACCUCCUGUUUAGAUGUUUUUUAUGUUUUAAUUAAUGUUUGUGCCAAGUAGAACCUAUAGGACAACCUAUGAUGAUAGUUGAUUUGAUUCUGCUGAAAGAACAGAAACUUUUCACGCACGAAUUUAGUUUUGUUAAAUCACAGGAACGUGAUUUUGUGUUGAUUCUUUUUUCUACUGAUCAACAUACAAAUUUUCCAGGACUGCCUAUUUUGGUAGGAUUUUUAGAGUUCCAGAAGUUUGCGUUAGUUACAGAUUCCUAUAGACUGUUCUGUUUUUAACAGAUUCUGUUUUCGUGUGUUGUUUGCUUAUUUUGAUGCAUCUAUGGCUAGUAAAAUAGUUUAUAAACCAUAGAGAAGUUGGAAUAUAGUAGGUUUAACACCAAAAUAUAUAAAUAAUGAGUUCAUUACAGUACCUUAUGUGGUGGUUUUGUUUUCUUUCACUAACGGAGCUUAUAAGAUUUCCUGUUGAGUUUUGUGUUGUGAAGUUUUCAAGUUUUGGGUAAAGCUUUGAUGGACUAUGGAAUACGGAGUGGCAAGAGCCUAAGCUUGGGGAUGCCCAUGGCACCCCAAGAUACUCAACAAUAGCCAAAAGCCUAAGCUUGGGGAUGCCCCGGGAAGGCAUCCCCUCUUUCGUCUUUGUUCAUUGGUAACUUUACUUGGAGCUAUAUUUUUAUUUGCCACAUGAUAUGUGUUUUGCUUGCAGCGUCGUGUAUUAUAUUAGUCUUUGCUUUUUAGUUUACCACAAUCAUCCUUGCUGUACACACCUUUUGGGAGAAGCCCACUUGACUAGAAUUUGCUAGAAUACUCUAUGUGCUUCACUUAUAUCUUUUGAGAUUGAUAGUUUAUGCUCUAGUGCUUCAUUUAUACCUUUUAGAGCACGACGGUGGCUUAAUUUUGAAGAAAUUGCUAGUAUCUCAUGCUUCACUUAUAUUAUUUUGAGAGUCUUUUAGAACAGCAUGGCAUUUGCUAUGGUUACAGAUUUGGUCCUAGAAUGAUGAGCAUCCAAGUUGGGUAUAAUAAAAACUAUCAUAGGAAGUGAAUUGGAUGCUAUGAUCAAUUUGAUGUUUGAUAAUUGUUUUGAGAUAUAGAGGUAGUAAUGUUAGAGUCAUGCUAGUGGGUAAUUAUGAAAUUGAGAAAUACUUGUGUUGAAGUUGGCAAGUCCCGUAGCAUGCAGUAUGGUAAAAGUUGUGUGACAAAUUUGUUGCAUGAGGUGCUCUUUUGAUUGUCUUCCUUAUGAGUGGAGGUCGGGAUCACGCGAUGGUUAAAUCCUACCAACCCUUCCCCUAGGAGCAUGCGUAGUAGUACUUUGCUUUGAGGGCAAGUAGACUUUUGCAAUAAGUAUACGAGUUCUUUAUGACUAAUGUGAGUCCAUGGAUAUACGCACGCUCAUCCUUCCACUUUGCUAGCCUCUAUUAUACCACGCAACUUUCGCCAGUAUCAUGCACCCAUUAUUUACCUUCCUCAAAACAGCCACCAUACCUACCUAUUAUGGCAUUUCCAUAGCCAUUCCGAGAUAUAUUGCCAUGCAACUUUCCACCGUUUCGUUUAUUAUGACACGUUCCAUCAUUGUCAUAUUGCUCUUUGCAUGAUCAUGUAGUUGACAUCGUAUUUGUGGCAAGGCCACCUUCAUAAUUUUCAUACAUGUCGCUCUUGAUUCACUGCAUAUCCCGAUACACCGCCGGAGGCAUUCAUAUAGAGUCAUAUCUUGUUCUAGCUUUGAGUUGUAAUUCUUGAGUUGUAAAUCAAUAAAAGUGGGAUGAUCUUCAUUAUUAGAGCAUUGUCUCAGUGAGGAAAGGAUGAUGAAGACUAUGAUUCCCCCACAAGUCGGGAUGAGACUUCGGACAUUACAAAAAAAAAAGA
rnacentral:lncRNA from 1 species